GUCUUCGUGGCUCAGUUGGUUAGAGCGUUGGUCUCAUAGAAAUAUGACCCAGUCUUUAGCCUGGGAUAUCCAAAGGUCGUGAGUUCGAGCCUCACCGAGGACA